GACGAACGCUGGCGGCGUGCCUAAUACAUGCAAGUUGAGCGCUGAAGGUUGGUACUUGUACCAACUGGAUGAGCAGCGAACGGGUGAGUAACGCGUGGGGAAUCUGCCUUUGAGCGGGGGACAACAUUUGGAAACGAAUGCUAAUACCGCAUAAAAACUUUAAACACAAGUUUUAAGUUUGAAAGAUGCAAUUGCAUCACUCAAAGAUGAUCCCGCGUUGUAUUAGCUAGUUGGUGAGGUAAAGACUCACCAAGGCGAUGAUACAUAGCCGACCUGAGAGGGUGAUCGGCCACAUUGGGACUGAGACACGGCCCAAACUCCUACGGGAGGCAGCAGUAGGGAAUCUUCGGCAAUGGACGAAAGUCUGACCGAGCAACGCCGCGUGAGUGAAGAAGGGUUUCGGAUCGUAAAACUCUGUUGGUAGAGAAGAACGUUGGUGAGAGUGGAAAGCUCAUCAAGUGACGGUAACUACCCAGAAAGGGACGGCUAACUACGUG
rnacentral:rRNA from 1 species